rnacentral:rRNA from 1 species
CGCAAGCCUGACGGAGCAAGACCGCGUGCGGGAUGACGGCCUAAUGGUUGUAAACCGCUUUUCUCUGGGAAGAUGAUGGCGGUACCAGAGGAAUCAGCCUCGGCUAACUCCGUGCCAGCAGCCGCGGUAAUACGGAGGAGGCAAGCGUUAUCCGGAAUUAUUGGGCGUAAAGCGUCCGUAGGUGGUUAUUCAAGUCUGCUGUCAAAGCGUGGGGCUUAACUCCAUAGAGGCAGUGGAAACUGGAUGACUUGAGUGCGGUAGGGGUCGAGGGAAUUCCCAGUGUAGCGGUGAAAUGCGUAGAUAUUGGGAAGAACACCAGUGGCGGAAGCGCUCGACUGGGCCUGCACUGACACUGAGGGACGAAAGCUAGGGGAGCG